GCGAACGGGUGAGUAACACGUGGGUAACCUGCCCAUCAGAAGGGGAUAACACUUGGAAACAGGUGCUAAUACCGUAUAACACUAUUUUCCGCAUGGAAGAAAGUUGAAAGGCGCUUUUGCGUCACUGAUGGAUGGACCCGCGGUGCAUUAGCUAGUUGGUGAGGUAACGGCUCACCAAGGCCACGAUGCAUAGCCGACCUGAGAGGGUGAUCGGCCACACUGGGACUGAGACACGGCCCAGACUCCUACGGGAGGCAGCAGUAGGGAAUCUUCGGCAAUGGACGAAAGUCUGACCGAGCAACGCCGCGUGAGUGAAGAAGGUUUUCGGAUCGUAAAACUCUGUUGUUAGAGAAGAACAAGGAUGAGAGUAGAACGUUCAUCCCUUGACGGUAUCUAACCAGAAAGCCACGGCUAACUACGUGCCAGCAGCCGCGGUAAUACGUAGGUGGCAAGCGUUGUCCGGAUUUAUUGGGCGUAAAGCGAGCGCAGGCGGUUUCUUAAGUCUGAUGUGAAAGCCCCCGGCUCAACCGGGGAGGGUCAUUGGAAACUGGGAGACUUGAGUGCAGAAGAGGAGAGUGGAAUUCCAUGUGUAGCGGUGAAAUGCGUAGAUAUAUGGAGGAACACCAGUGGCGAAGGCGGCUCUCUGGUCUGUAACUGACGCUGAGGCUCGAAAGCGUGGGGAGCGAACAGGAUUAGAUACCCUGGUAGUCCACGCCGUAAACGAUGAGUGCUAAGUGUUGGAGGGUUUCCGCCCUUCAGUGCUGCAGCAAACGCAUUAAGCACUCCGCCUGGGGAGUACGACCGCAAGGUUGAAACUCAAAGGAAUUGACGGGGGCCCGCACAAGCGGUGGAGCAUGUGGUUUAAUUCGAAGCAACGCGAAGAACCUUACCAGGUCUUGACAUCCUUUGACCACUCUAGAGAUAGAGCUUCCCCUUCGGGGGCAAAGUGACAGGUGGUGCAUGGUUGUCGUCAGCUCGUGUCGUGAGAUGUUGGGUUAAGUCCCGCAACGAGCGCAACCCUUAUUGUUAGUUGCCAUCAUUUAGUUGGGCACUCUAGCGAGACUGCCGGUGACAAACCGGAGGAAGGUGGGGAUGACGUCAAAUCAUCAUGCCCCUUAUGACCUGGGCUACACACGUGCUACAAUGGGAAGUACAACGAGUUGCGAAGUCGCGAGGCUAAGCUAAUCUCUUAAAGCUUCUCUCAGUUCGGAUUGUAGGCUGCAACUCGCCUACAUGAAGCCGGAAUCGCUAGUAAUCGCG
rnacentral:rRNA from 1 species